rnacentral:lncRNA from 1 species
UCUCUGAAACAGUAGCAUAAUGUCGAUUGUUUGAAUGAAGAACAGCAGAAGCGUCACUUUUGAAUUGAUUCGCCAAAGACUCAGAUCGUAAAGCUAAUAACUUUUCAAUCAUCAAAUAGUCAUCACCAUCAAAUUUCUCUAAUAUUCUAGAAGCAAAUACACGUCCCUCCAUAAACUUGAAACUGAGGAUGAUUCUAUCAAAGUG